rnacentral:RNase_MRP_RNA from 1 species
GCCCGUGCCGAAGGUUUGCAUACGGGUAAUUCAGACGAACCUGGGUACAUCCCGGGUACCAUGGCCCGUGGGAAAGUCCCCGGAUCACGAGGCAGAGAUGUCAUCCGUUAACGGAGGCGUCGGCACGGUCGCCGUCAUCGUGGCAAAGACACGAGCCCUGACGGCCCGGCUGAUUGUUCAUCAUAGCAAAGUUAUGCAAGCGCCGCCCGGUGUCAUGCCGGACCGGUUCCACAACGGGGCUUACUCUCAGUGCUGG